rnacentral:misc_RNA from 1 species
GAUGAAGAACGUAGCGAAAUGCGAUAAGUAAUGUGAAUUGCAGAAUUCAGUGAAUCAUCGAAUCUUUGAACGCACAUUGCGCCAGCCAGUACUCUGGCGGGCAUGCCUGUUCGAGCGUCAUUUCAACCAUCAAGCCCCAGGCUUGCGUUGGAGCCCUGCGGCUGCCGCAGCCUCCCAAAACCAGUGGCGGGCUCGCUAUCACACCGAGUGCAGUAGUUUACUCUUCGCUCAGGGCGUGUGGCGGGUGCUAGCCGUAAAACCCCCAACUUCUCAAGGUUGACCUCGGAUCAGGUAGGAAUACCCGCUGAACUUAAGCAUAUCAAUAAGCGGAGGA